rnacentral:sRNA from 1 species
GGGAGCCGCAGUGGCUCAGGCCGGUUGCCCUGGCACUCGGGGAGGUGAGGCUACACUACACGUUACACGUUCGAGGCCAACCUGGUCAACAUUGAUUGGAACAACAACAACAAAAAACUUUU